UAGGGUGGCGCACGGGUGAGUAACGCGUAGGUAAUCUACCUCUGCAUCUGGGAUAACACUUCGAAAGGGGUGCUAAUACCGGAUACACUUAUGGACCGCAAGGCCUAUAAGGAAAGGAGACGAUCCGCAAGGAGUUUCUGUGUAGAGAUGAGCCUGCGUCCCAUUAGCUAGUUGGUAGGGUAAUGGCCUACCAAGGCGACGAUGGGUAGCGGGUCUGAGAGGAUGAUCCGCCACACUGGAACUGAAACACGGACCAGACUCCUACGGGAGGCAGCAGUGAGGAAUAUUGGACAAUGGGCGCAAGCCUGAUCCAGCGACGCCGCGUGAGUGAUGAAGGCCUUUGGGUCGUAAAGCUCUGUCAGCAGGGAAGAACGGCCGUGUGGUUAAUACCCAUGCGGAUUGACGGUACCUGCAGAGGAAGCACCGGCUAACUCCGUGCCAGCAGCCGCGGUAAUACGGAGGGUGCGAGCGUUAAUCGGAAUUACUGGGCGUAAAGGGCGCGUAGGCGGCCGAUCAAGUCAGGUGUGAAAGCCCACGGCUUAACCGUGUGAAGUGCAUCUGAAACUGGUCGGCUUGAGUAUCGGAGAGGAAAGUGGAAUUCCCGGUAUAGAGGUGAAAUUCGUAGAUAACGGGAGGAAUACCGGUGGCGAAGGCGACUUUCUGGACGAAUACUGACGCUGAGGCGCGAAAGCGUGGGGAGCAAACAGGAUUAGAUACCCUGGUAGUCCACAGCUGUAAACGAUGUGCACUAGAUGUGGGGAAGUGUUGACCUUUCCUGUGUCGCAGCUAACGCAUUAAGUGCACCGCCUGGGGAGUACGGCCGCAAG
rnacentral:rRNA from 1 species